GCCCGGCUAGCUCAGUCGGUAGAGCA
rnacentral:piRNA from 14 species